UCGCCUGUUUAUCAAAAACAUCGCCUAGAGAUUCUAUUCUAGGUACUGCCUGCCCAGUGAAUUAAAUGGCCGCAGUAUCCUGACUGUGCAAAGGUAGCAUAAUCACUUGUCUUUUAAUUGAAGGCUAGCAUGAAUGGCGCCACGAAGAGUUAACUUUCCCAAGAUCAGAAAUAAAUUAAUCUGAAAGUCAAAAAGCUUUCAUAACCACGCAGGACGAGAAGACCCCGUAGAGCUUUACGUAUUUUAAACUAUAUGCUAAUAGAACUAAAUUUAUAUAGUAAUAAACUCCGUUUAGUUGGGGCGACUUGAAGUAAAUUAACACUUCUUAAUAAACCCUUAAUUUAUGUAUAAUUGAUCCGUCCUACGAUUCUAAAUCAAGCUACCUUGGGGAUAACAGCGUAAUCCAAACUGAGAGUUCUUAUCAAAACUUGGGAUUGCGACCUCGAUGUUGGAUUAGGAUACUACUUAGGUGCAGCUGCUUACAGUAGAGGUCUGUUCGACCUUUAAAAUCCUACGUGAUCUGAGUUCAGACCGGA
rnacentral:rRNA from 1 species